rnacentral:rRNA from 1 species
GUGCUACUUGUUCUUCCCCUAGGCCUGUACUACCUGUACUCCAGGGCUAGUUCUAGAUCGAAGAACCCAGCAGCGCUCCCCGCAAACUGGCCAAUACUACACAUGUUCCCUUCCUUCGUGGCCAAUCUCCACAACUUGAAUGACUAUUUCGGCCUGGUCCUCGCCGGAUCAGGCCACAACUUCAGGGCGCACGGCCCACCAGGGAACGGGAUGCGGUUUUUGGUCACAUGUGAUACUGCCAACAUCCGGCACAUCUUUACAACGAACUACACCAACUUUUCCAAGGGUGACGAGUUCGCCGCGAUCUUCGACAUCAUGAGCGGCAGCAUCUUCACCAUUGACGGUGAGCCGGCUCGUCGGCAGCGCACGAAAAUCAAGAGCAUGCUUGGCAGCCCACGGUUGGUUACAAGGAUGGAGGCCUGGUGCCGCGACAAGGUCGAGAGCAACCUGCUGUUGUUGUUUAUGCACAGGGCGAGCACCAACACUCCAUUCAAUAUGCAAGAACUUAUGACGAGGUUUAUGUUUGACAUGGCUGCUACUCCUCUCUUUGACGUGGACCCUAGUCUCCUAUCCUGGGACAUGCCACCCAUGGACCCGGCGGUUGCCAUGGAUACAGUCAUGGAGGUGGCCUUUUUCCGAGCCAUGAUGUCGGCUUCUUGCUGGAAGCUAAUGAGGCGGCUGAACAUCGGCCCUAAGAGGAAGCUCAAGGCAGCGCACAAGGUGCUGCGUGGGUUUAUCAUGGAGAUGAUGGAGAGGAGGAAGAUUAACACAUGUUAUGUUGGCAAUGGCAAGGAACAGGAGAGUGUUGAUAUUUUGUCUUCCCUCCUUAACGACCCUGAGUAUGCAGAUAAUGACUUGCUCCGUGCGAUGAUAGUCAGCUACAUGCUGGCAGCAAGGGACACAGUUGGAACGACGUUAACAUGGAUUUUCUACAACCUCGCCCAACACCCUAAAAUUGUGUCAAUCAUCCACAAAGAACUCUCACCCAUUGCAUCACAUAAAGUAGCGGCCGGUGCGGAUGCCAUGGUGAUCUUUGAGCCGAACGAGACCAAAUCUCUAGUCUAUCUAAGAGCCGUCUUGUACGAGACUCUCAGGCUGCACCCACCAGCGCCUCUCGAGCGCAAGAUGGAGGCCGCCAAUGAUAUCAUGCCAAGUGGCCAUGAGGUGCAUACGGGCGACACCAUCUUUAUUUCUCUCUACUCCAUGGGGAGAAUGGAGGGCAUAUGGGGUAAAGAUUGCCUCAACUACAAUCCAGAUAGGUGGCUCUCGGAGGAUGGCAGCAAGCUGAGGUACGUACCAUCUCACAAGUUCUUGGCCUUCAACUCGGGCCCGAGGAUGUGCCUCGGCAAGGACAUCGCAUUUAUGCUUCUGAGGACCGUCAUCGCCUCAACUUUGUGGAACUUUGAUGUGGAGGUGAUGGAAGGGCAAAGCAUCCAGGCCAAGCCGUCUUGUAUACUGGAGAUGAAAAAUGGGCUCAUGGUUAAGCUGAAGAAGCGAGAAAUAUAG